rnacentral:rRNA from 1 species
GAUGAACGCUAGCGGCAGGCCUAACACAUGCAAGUCGAGGGGUAGAGUUAGCUUGCUAACUUGAGACCGGCGCACGGGUGCGUAACGCGUAUGCAAUCUACCUUGUACAGAGGGACAGCCCAGAGAAAUUUGGAUUAAUACCUCAUAGUGUUAUAGAGUGGCAUCACUUUAUGACUAAAGUUCCAACGGUACAAGAUGAGCAUGCGUCCCAUUAGUUAGUUGGUGUGGUAACGGCACACCAAGACGAUGAUGGGUAGGGGUCCUGAGAGGGAGAUCCCCCACACUGGUACUGAGACACGGACCAGACUCCUACGGGAGGCAGCAGUGAGGAAUAUUGGGCAAUGGAGGCAACUCUGACCCAGCCAUGCCGCGUGCAGGAAGACGGUCCUAUGGAUUGUAAAACUGCUUUUGUACGGGAAGAAACCACUCUUCGUGAAGAGUCUUGACGGUACCGUAAGAAUAAGGAUCGGCUAACUCCGUGCCAG